AAUGAACGCUAGCGGCAGGCCUAACACAUGCAAGUCGAGGGGCAGCAUAAAAUAAACUUGUUUAUUUGGUGGCGACCGGCGCACGGGUGCGUAACGCGUAUGCAACCUACCUUACACAGGGGGAUAGCCCGGAGAAAUUCGGAUUAAUACCCCAUAGCACUAUCGGAUGGCAUCAUUUGAUAUUUAAAGCUUUGGCGGUGUAAGAUGGGCAUGCGUCCUAUUAGCUAGUUGGUGAGGUAACGGCUCACCAAGGCUACGAUAGGUAGGGGGCCUGAGAGAGUGGUCCCCCACACUGGUACUGAGACACGGACCAAACUCCUACGGGAGGCAGCAGUGAGGAAUAUUGGUCAAUGGGCGCAAGCCUGAACCAGCCAUGCCGCGUGAAGGAUGAAGGUUCUAUGGAUUGUAAACUUCUUUUAUUUGGGAAUAAACCCCUUUACGUGUAGAGGGCUGAAGGUACCAAAUGAAAAAGCACCGGCUAACUCCGUGCCAGCCGCCGCGGUAACAC
rnacentral:rRNA from 1 species